CGGCUCAGUAACACGUGGAUAACCUACCCUCAGACCUGGGAUAACUCCGGGAAACUGGAGAUAAUACCGGAUAAUCCGUGAACGCUGGAAUGCCUUACGGUUGAAAGCUUUAGCGUCUGAGGAUGGGUCUGCGGCCGAUUAGGUAGUUGCUGGGGUAACGUCCCAACAAGCCGAUAAUCGGUACGGGUUGUGAGAGCAAGAGCCCGGAGAUGGAUUCUGAGACACGAAUCCAGGUCCUACGGGGCGCAGCAGGCGCGAAAACUUUACACUGCGCGAAAGCGCGAUAAGGGGACCUCGAGUGCGUGCGCAAUGCGUACGCUUUUCAGAUGCCUAAAAAGCAUCUGGAAUAAGGGCCGGGCAAGACCGGUGCCAGCCGCCGCGGUAACACCGGCGGCUCAAGUGGUGGCCGCUAUUAUUGGGCUUAAAGGGUCCGUAGCCGGACCAGUUAGUCCCUUGGGAAAUCUUACGGCUUAACCGUAAGGCUGCCAAUGGAUACUGCUGGUCUUGGGACCGGGAGAGGCAAGAGGUACCUCAGGGGUAGGAGUGAAAUCCUGUAAUCCUUGAGGGACCGCCAGUGGCGAAGGCGUCUUGCUAGAACGGGUCCGACGGUGAGGGA
rnacentral:rRNA from 1 species